CGAGUGGCGGACGGGUGAGUAACGCGUGGGUAACCUGCCUUACACAGGGGAUAACACCUGGAAACAGGUGCUAAUACCGCAUAAGCGCACAGGGCCGCAUGGCCCGGUGUGAAAAACUCCGGUGGUGUAAGAUGGACCCGCGUCUGAUUAGCUUGUUGGCGGGGUAGAGGCCCACCAAGGCGACGAUCAGUAGCCGGCCUGAGAGGGUGGACGGCCACAUUGGGACUGAGACACGGCCCAAACUCCUACGGAAGGCAGCAG
rnacentral:rRNA from 1 species